CAUUUUGUGGAUAUCUCACACACUUUUGUGUCUUGUAAAUAUGAAAUUGUUUGGAAUGCACAGAAUGCUAGGGUUCUCAUAUCUGAAAUGGACCUUUAUACAGUUGAAUAAAAUUUGCAUUUGGCUUUGACGCUUGAAUACUACUUGUAGUACGAAGACCUGCAUCUUCAUUUUGAAUGCUGGUCUAUUUUUAACAGUAGUGUUUUUCUAUUGAAUGAAGCAAUAUUUCAGAAAUUUACUGUUCAGUUCAAGAAUUCGCCAUAACUAAUAUGUGACAUCAUUGGAGGAAUACAGAUUUUUUUCUUACUUUGGUACCCUCUUAUCUAAAGUCGGCUUUAUACGAGCCAUAAGGUAAAACCACAAAACAUUAAACAAUACUAUUCUUUAUUUAUACUAUUCUGUGGUAAAACAACAAAACACAGUUUUAGUUUGAUUAUUCGAAAAUGAUUUAAAUGGUUUUAUGCAACUUUAGAAAUAUUUUUAAUUAUUUCCUCAAUGCAAGACAUUAUAGUACAGAUACGAAAAUCAUCAUGAGAUAUCUGAAUGUGGCAGAGAAGAAUGAUGCGGCCAAAAAUAUUGCAUCUAUUUUAUCCAGAGGAAACUCUAAUAGGAGAGAAGGUUUUUCUGUAUACAAUAAGAUAUAUGAAUUUACAGCUCAUGUUCUUGGAGAAGAAGCUACAAUGAUUAUGACCUCGGUAUCUGGACAUUUGCUCAACUAUGAAUUCACAGUAAACCAUAAAUCGUGGCAGGGCUGUAAUCCAGUAGAACUGUUUGAUGCCCCAGUGGUGAAAACAUGUCAUGCAGAUUUCCAAAAUAUAAAAGUAAGAUGUGCUGAUACAUGCAGGG